AUGAAAAGCACUUUGAAAAGAGGGUGAAAAGAACCUGAAACCGUCACGGGGGAAGCGGAUCGCGUUGGCCUGGUGGGCGCUUGUGUGUUCAGCCUUUUUGGGUGCAUUGGCACAAGUGCUUAUCCGUCGUGGGUUUCCGGGGAUUGACAAUGAAUCGCCGGGGGCUGAGGGCUCCCUUCGGGUGAGGACGACGGAGCGACGACGCGAUACGACCCGUCUUGAAACACGGACCAAGGAGUCUAGCGCGGGUGCGAGUCGGAGGGUGCAAGCCCGUGGGCGUAGUGAAAGCGAGUGUAAAAACGAGCAGUUUGAGGCGGCAUAAGAUCGUUGAUCUUAAGACCGACCUAGAGCAGUUGCGCUGGGACCCGAAAGAUGGUGAACUAUGCCGGAGUAGGGCAAAGCCAGAGGAAACUCUGGUGGAGGCUCGUAGCGGUGCUGACGUGCAAAUCGCUCGUCCAACUUGGGUAUAGGGGCGAAAGACUAAUCGAACCAUCUAGUAGCUGGUUCCCUCCGAAGUUUCUCUCAGGAUAGCGGGCCGACACGCGUUGUUUUGUGC
rnacentral:rRNA from 1 species